AGUGAACGCUAGCGGUAGGCCUAACACAUGCAAGUCGAACGGCAGCACAGUAAGAGCUUGCUCUUACGGGUGGCGAGUGGCGGACGGGUGAGGAAUACAUCGGAAUCUACUUUUUCGUGGGGGAUAACGUAGGGAAACUUACGCUAAUACCGCAUACGACCUACGGGUGAAAGCAGGGGAUCUUCGGACCUUGCGCGAUUGAAUGAGCCGAUGUCGGAUUAGCUAGUUGGCGGGGUAAAGGCCCACCAAGGCGACGAUCCGUAGCUGGUCUGAGAGGAUGAUCAGCCACACUGGAACUGAGACACGGUCCAGACUCCUACGGGAGGCAGCAGUGGGGAAUAUUGGACAAUGGGCGCAAGCCUGAUCCAGCCAUACCGCGUGGGUGAAGAAGGCCUUCGGGUUGUAAAGCCCUUUUGUUGGGAAAGAAAAGCAGCAGGUUAAUACCCCGCUGUUCUGACGGUACCCAAAGAAUAAGCGCCGGCUAACUUCGUG
rnacentral:rRNA from 1 species